rnacentral:rRNA from 1 species
UUCCGGUUGAUCCUGCCGGACCUGACUGCUAUCGGAUUGAUACUAAGCCAUGCGAGUCUUUGUAGCAAUACAAGGCAGACGGCUCAGUAACACGUAGUCAAUCUACCCUAUGGACGGGGAUAAUCCUCGGGAAACUGAGAAUAAUACCCGAUAGAUCAUUAUGCCUGGAAUGGUUUAUGGUUCAAAUGAUUUUUCGCCAUAGGAUGGGACUGCGGUCUAUCAGCUUGUUGGUGAGGUAAUGGCCCACCAAGGCUAUAACAGAUACGGGCUCUGAGAGGAGAAGCCCGGAGAUGGGUACUGAGACACGGACCCAGGUCCUAUGGGGCGCAGCAGGCGAGAAAACUUUGCAAUGUGCGAAAGCACGAC